UACGAAGGGGGCUAGCGUUGCUCGGAAUCACUGGGCGUAAAGGGUGCGUAGGCGGAUCUUUAAGUCAGGGGUGAAAUCCUGGAGCUCAACUCCAGAACUGCCUUUGAUACUGAAGAUCUUGAGUUCGGGAGAGGUGAGUGGAACUGCGAGUGUAGAGGUGAAAUUCGUAGAUAUUCGCAAGAACACCAGUGGCGAAGGCGGCUCACUGGCCCGAUACUGACGCUGAGGCACGGAAAGCGUGGGGAGCAAACAGGG
rnacentral:rRNA from 1 species